ACCAGCCUCUGGUUCUGAGGUCUUCCAAGGUCACUUCUGAUUGCUUUGGAUGGGACACAAUGGCAUAAGCAUGACCUCCCAUCUAGAUUAUAUUUGUUAUGACCUGUCUUUUAUGUCUUUGAUCUAAUUAGGGCUAUUGUGAUAUCCCAUUAUUUGUAAAGAGUCUGUAUUUGUAAGAGACAUUCUGAUCUUUGUUCUUACUUUCAGUUCUGUUCUUUCACUUUCAGCAUUGCUGAGUCAAAAGGAUGCCUAAAUCUCCUCCUAAGUUACCCUGGGUCUUAAAAUCUCCCUAGUGUGCCUGCAAGGGCAGAUGUGGGCUCAGCAGAAGAGGAGACAGUCUCCAAGACCAAGUGUAGAACCUGGUGGUGCUGAGUGUGGUGCUCCAGAACCAGCUCCCCCUGAUGCUUUCCAGUGAAGGAAAUCCUACCCAUUUCUGAGAGUGAGGAUGAGGAGCUUGUUUGCUCUAAGAGAGGAAGAAAGGAGCAGAGACUACCUGUGACUUGAUGCUGAUCAUCUCCCCUCCUGGCUUUGGUGGCUCAGCAAAGCCUGAAAAAUCCUGGCAUGCAAUUCACUCCUAACUUUCAGUGUGCUGAAAUCCGAGAUGAUGUUUUCAUGGUGCUUCCAAACCAAGAUCUUGUUCCAGCCCAUCCUUUCAAUCUGUGUUUUGAAACCCCUCUUAAUCCACUUCCCAUCCUUCCCUCAUGGAACUAGCAGCACAGCUUGAUCCUCAGAGCAGCUAAAUUUUCCAUCCAGAGAGCUGUGAUCAUUUCAUGGAGAGACAGAAGGCAGCAGAGAUAAAUGUCAGUGGCAACAUGUGGCUGUAAAAUGUGAGCAGCAAAAGCAAAAUUCACCCAAAGCCUGUGAGAAUACGUGUCACCUCCUCCUUGUUCACCUGCCAGGGACAUGGAAAAGCAGCUGCAAUUCAGGGAGGCAGCACGAGCUGUGGGAUUUGAAAUCACACCCUGGGCUUUGGAGCCAAAUCUCUGCAACUACAAACUCCAACAAAGUGUGUGAGAGCUGUGAGCAGGAAUCACCCUGGCCACACAACCCCACUCCUUCCAGAAACACCACAACUGCUGCCAGGGCCCUGGGGACUUCUGCAGAUGUCCUCUGGAGAACUGGACAAGCUGGCAUUGCCUGGAAAGGGAAGAAAGCUUAUCCUACUAGAAAACAGAUCAAAGCUACCCUGAGACACAGCAGUGGAAAACAUUGGAGGAGGAAAUUGCAGAAAACUCAUUCUAACCUUUGGAUAAGACUCAGCAGGAUAAAUUUUUCCUGUUCUUCAGACUUCUCUUUGCAAUGGUUCUGGAGGGGUUGUCACUGUGGGUGUUGUGCCUGUCACCAGGUGGGAGGGAAUGGAUGAGAAACAAAUGAUCAAUGAGAAGCAAUGAUCAAUGUUCAGUGAGAAGCAAUGAUCAAUGUUCAGUGAUCCUCCAUCCUGCUGGGCUUGGGUACUCACGUGCUGGAUGCUCUUCUCCCAUCCAACAUGUUUGGAAAAAACCAGUUUUUCCUUUUCCAGAAUUCCUGGAUAACUCAUUCCUACUCCACACUUGUUUGUCCCUUUGUGUACCCUUGUUUUAUUUUUAUACUCUGGAGAAGUAGAUGUUUGGAGAGAGAGCUGGUGGGUCUGAAGUGCUGCAUCAUCUCAUCUCAUCUCAUCUCAUCUCAUCUCAUCUCAUCUCAUCUCAUCUCAUCUCAUCUCACCUCCAAAGGAUUUUCUGUCUCAGGAGAGUUUUCCUUUCCAUCCUCUUCUCACCAGCCAGAUUCUUUUUCUGGGAAUUGCCUUCCUGAAUCUGCCAAUCCCCUUUUGCCAUAUCUGCUGUAUUCCCUGGCUGCAAAAAGAGAGUUUUCCUGAAUUGUCUUCCUGAAUUUUCCUGACUUGUCUUCCUGAAUCUCCCAAUCCCUUUUUUCCCUAUCUGCUGUAUUCCCUGGCUGCAAAAACAGAAUUUUCAAGCUGCUUGCCACAGUCAGGAUUGACAAACCCUUGUCAGGAAAUCGCGGGACAUGAAAGGUCUGCUGAGAAGGCAGAUUGUCAUUACAGACCAAAAUAUUCCCAUUGAGGACUUUGGCAGUUAAAAACAUGUAGUUUAAUGGCUCUAAGAGUUAAUUACUGCACU